UACAGAGGUCCCGAGCGUUGUUCGGAUUCACUUGGGCGUAAAGGGUGCGUAGGUGGUUGGGUAAGUCUGAUGUGAAAUCUCCGGGCUCAACCCGGAAAUGGCAUUGGAUACUAUUCGGCUAGAGGUUUGGAGGGGGGACUGGAAUUCUCGGUGUAGCAGUGAAAUGCGUAGAUAUCGAGAGGAACACCAGUGGCGAAGGCGAGUCCCUGGACAACACCUGACACUGAGGCACGAAAGCUAGGGGAGCAAACAGG
rnacentral:rRNA from 1 species